rnacentral:rRNA from 1 species
CAGCUCAAAUUUGAAAUCUGGCUUUCGGGCCCGAGUUGUAAUUUGUAGAGGAUACUUUUGAUGCGGUGCCUUCCGAGUUCCCUGGAACGGGACGCCAUAGAGGGUGAGAGCCCCGUCUGGUUGGAUGCCAAAUCUCUGUAAAGUUCCUUCGACGAGUCGAGUAGUUUGGGAAUGCUGCUCUAAAUGGGAGGUAUAUGUCUUCUAAAGCUAAAUAUUGGCCAGAGACCGAUAGCGCACAAGUAGAGUGAUCGAAAGAUGAAAAGCACUUUGAAAAGAGAGUUAAAAAGUACGUGAAAUUGUUGAAAGGGAAGCGUUUAUGACCAGACUUGGACUUGGUUAAUCAUCUGGGGUUCUCCCCAGUGCACUUUUCCAGUUCAGGCCAGCAUCAGUUUUCGCCGGGGGAUAAAGGCAGCGGGAAUGUGGCUCUCUUCGGGGAGUGUUAUAGCCCGUUGUGUAAUACCCUGGUGGGGACUGAGGUUCGCGCUUCUGCAAGGAUGCUGGCGUAAUGGUCAUCAACGACCCGUCUUGAAACACGGACCAAGGAGUCGUCUUCGUAUGCGAGUGUUCGGGUGUCAAACCCCUACGCGUAAUGAAAGUGAACGCAGGUGAGAGCUUCGGCGCAUCAUCGACCGAUCCUGAUGUUCUCGGAUGGAUUUGAGUAAGAGCAUACGGGGCCGGACCCGAAAGAAGGUGAACUAUGCCUGUAUAGGGUGAAGCCAGAGGAAACU